GCGGGGGUGGUUCAGCGGUGGAAUUCCUGCCUUCCAUGCAGGAGACCUGGGUUCGAUCCCCAGCCAGUGCA